GCCGCCGCUGGCCGGCUGGUGGGAGGCUAGCGAUCUCUCCGAGACGGCAAGGCUUGGCCUUGUUCCAGAUGCGGCGGCGGCC
rnacentral:tRNA from 1 species